rnacentral:rRNA from 1 species
GAUGAACGCUGGCGGCGUGCCUAAUACAUGCAAGUCGAGCGAACGGACGAGAAGCUUGCUUCUCUGAUGUUAGCGGCGGACGGGUGAGUAACACGUGGAUAACCUACCUAUAAGACUGGGAUAACUUCGGGAAACCGGAGCUAAUACCGGAUAAUAUUUUGAACCGCAUGGUUCAAAAGUAAAAGACGGUCUUGCUGUCACUUAUAGAUGGAUCCGCGCUGCAUUAGCUAGUUGGUAAGGUAACGGCUUACCAAGGCAACGAUGCAUAGCCGACCUGAGAGGGUGAUCGGCCACACUGGAACUAAGACACGGUCCAGACUCCUACGGGAGGCAGCAGUAGGGAAUCUUCCGCAAUGGGCGAAAGCCUGACGGAGCAACGCCGCGUGAGUGAUGAAGGUCUUCGGAUCGUAAAACUCUGUUAUUAGGGAAGAACAUAUGUGUGAGUAACUGUGCGCAUCUUGACGGUACCUAAUCAGAAAGCCACGGCUAACUACGUG